ensembl:snoRNA SNORD116 Small nucleolar RNA SNORD116
GGAUCGAUGAUGACACCCACAAACGCAUUCCUUGGAAAAUCUGAACAAAAUGAGUGAGAACUCACUACCGUCUCCUCAUCGAAACUGAGGUCC